GUGACUGUGAGACUUUAGACUUAAGAUUUUUGCCCGACGGACAACAAGACGGGUGAGAAAAUUGUAUAGACCCAGACUGAAGGAGAAACCUCAUUUCAGAAUAAUGUCUUAUCAAUGCUCUGUCAUCACAGGGCUUUUGGAUGGGCAAGCACUACUCUACAUCAUUUUCAGAAAAUGUUUUGUGUGCUAUUGGCUAUUUUUGAGCAUUGUCUCUUCAAUUGACAGCCUUGAGUUCAGGCAACACAUAUGUGUAGUAGGCCUGUGAGCUCAUGAAGGUGGUGAAGGAAUGGUCUGAGAAAGUGCUCCCAAUGAGAGAAAAGUGCUUGGGAACCUCCACAGCUUCAUUGUAAGUCAUAUAUUUAGGCAAUGCACUGAUGAAUCCUGGGAAUAUGGACAAAGCUCUGCAUCAUCAUGUAGAAGGAUCUGGAGCUGGCCAAUAAAUGCAACCUGAUGGACAGUAAAUCCAGGGCUCUGGUCAACAUUGGCCAUGUGUAUGCACGGAUUGGAAAGUUUCAACAAGCUCUUGAAGUCUGGGAGGAGAAGUUGUCUCUAGUAUAUGGUGGGUUAGAGAAAGCACGAGACUAUGUUUCCCGCUCACUCAUGGCUGCGGAUGACAUCUGCAAUUAAAAAUGGCAGGCAGGCAGAAUAGUGAAGCUGGGUAACUACAAGGCCUGUGUGUGUUACAGUUUGAGAGGGCACUGGACCGGACAAAACUGCUGCAGGACGACUCUGCCAGCGAAGCCAUCCAGAAGGCUCUGCGUGAAGCAAGACAAAGAGUGACUCAGUAAAAUGAGAAACCCCUCUGAAUAAAAUGGCAGCAAUCAACUUUCAUCCACCUACAAGACAAGUCAGAACUAAUGCAUCCCCACUAGUGGAAUAAAGUUUGUCUGAGGAACAUUGGAUUGCAGUCAGUGUUAUUGGUGAAGGAUGACUUUAUUACUUCCUUUUCUGUGCUUGUUACCAUAUGGGUAAAAAUAUUUUUGCAUAGUUUUACAUAAUUAAACAUGUCAGACUUUCAGAGGUAUAACAAAUCAUGUGCUAUAUUUGUGAUGCAGUGUCUAAGUGAUGUUGCCCAGAUGCUGUUAAUGUUUUCCAAUAGACCCACAUAUGCCAUGACCUUCUGUUGACAUAGAGAAAUACUCUUUUAAUUCAUAAUCCAACCAUAGAGGUUUGAACUGAAAUUCAUUCAAAUGAGUUUGUACCUCUAAUUUGAUAUCAAUUUGAUAUUGCCUUUAUGUGCUCAACAAAACUGAACAGAAGUAUAAGCCCUGUCAGAAUGCUUGCAGUUUGUGUGUGAGAGGAUUUUUGUGUGGGUUAUAUCUGCUAUUUAUGCACACACCACAAAAGCUUGUGAGAAAGCGGUCACAGCUAACCUGCAUUUGUUCUGAGCUCCACUGUGAUAAGCUGAAGCAGCGAUUCUUAACUGCAGAACCUGUCCGUGCAAUGUCAGACAGCAUAACCACUCAGAAAUCCUGCAUACAUUUCACACGUCCCUCACGGAUAGCUACAAGACACAGCAUGCACACUCCAGCUGUUUUCAUAUUUACAGGUAUGCUUUUGUAAAACUGGCCUGUAAACAUGCAUUUAAAGAGCAUGUGGUGCCUGCAGAUCCUUUUUUAUUCUUUACAGACUUCAUUUUAAAACACAAACAAAGGAAUUGAACACUUUGAUCAUUCUGACAAGCAUGUUUUCAAUAUAAUAUAUUUUGACAUAAUAUCAUGAUUACAAGGACCUUACUGAGUCUGCUGGAAAUCAAGUCCAUACUUGUGUGCGGCAUGAAAAGCUUGAGAAAUGUGUUUGUCUUAUCCAAAGGUUGUUGCAAUAUAUAUUUUAUGCAGUAGAUACUAUCAAACCUAUAGGUGUAGACAAGCAUUCCUGUAAUGGCCUACUGCCAAUCUGUUCUUAAUCAGUGACCGUGUAUGCAAAUUGAAUAAAUUUGUGAUGUUUGCUUUAAAAGUAGGCCUAUAUACAAUAACUUUUUGUGGGAGAAAUAUCUUACAAGAAUGUUCAGAGAGGUUUAUUAAAUAUAAAUGUUAAUUUGUAUUUGGUGGGGGGGGGGCAAUCAACGGUUCGGACAAUUCUGCAAAACAAAUUUUCUUUUCACGCCAACACCAUAUAUCUAUAUUACUUUUUAAUCAAACACAUUUUCAUGAUAUAUUUGUGAUGUGCAAAACUUUAAUGAAGUGAUAAAUAAUAAAAGUAUUUUAAUGAUUUUUUUUAUUGAUGUUAUUGACAAAAACUGAUAUAAUGCAGUACUGUUUCCAAAAACAC